rnacentral:RNase_P_RNA from 1 species
AGCGUCAGUCAGGCUAUCGCUCCGAUUCGUCGGGGAGGAAAGUCCGGGCAGCAUAGAGUACCGCACUUCCUAACGGGAAGGCUGAUAUUCGUAUCAGACAGCUAGUCGUACAGAAAAUAACCGCCUUAUCGCUUGCGUUAGGGUAAGGGUGAAAAUGAGAGGUAAGAGCUCUCGUCGAACUAUAGUGAUAUAGUUGGAGAUGAAACCUUGCGGGCUGAAAGACCAAAUAUACCAACGCUUGAGGGCUACUCGCUCGAGUUGGGUGGGUAGGUCGUUAGAGGUGUUUGGCGACAAACAUCCAAGAUAAAUGAUAGCCUCGUUCCGAUUUCGGAAUCAGACAGAACCCGGCUUAUCGACUGACACGUUUG